AAUCGCUAGUAAUCGCGGAUCAGCACACCGCGGUGAAUACGUUCCCGGGCCUUGUACACACCGCCCGUCACACCAUGGAAGUCUGCAAUGCCCGAAGCCGGUGGCCUAACCACUUAUGUGGAAGGAGCCGUCUAAGGCAGGGCAGAUGACUGGGGUGAAGUCGUAACAAGGUAAC
rnacentral:rRNA from 1 species